rnacentral:rRNA from 1 species
CCUACGGGAGGCAGCAGUAGGGAAUAUUGCUCAAUGGGGGAAACUCUGAAGCAGCAACGCCGCGUGGAGGAUGAAGGUUUUCGGAUUGUAAACUCCUUUUGUUAGAGAAGAUAAUUACGGUAUCUAACGAAUAAGCACCGGCUAAAUCCGUGCCAGCAGCCGCGGUAAUACGGAGGGUGCAAGCGUUACCCGGAAUCACUGGGCGUAAAGAGCGCGUAGGCGGGAUAGCAAGUCAGAUGUGAAAGCCUAUGGCUUAACCAUAGAACUGCAUUUGAAACUGUUAUUCUUGAGUAUGGGAGAGGUAGGUGGAAUUCUUGGUGUAGGGGUAAAAUCCGUAGAGAUCAAGAAGAAUACUCAUUGCGAAGGCGACCUGCUAGAACAUAACUGACGCUGAUGCGCGAAAGCGUGGGGAGCAAACAGGAUUAGAUACCCUUGUAGUC